UACGUAGGGGGCUAGCGUUGUCCGGAAUCAUUGGGCGUAAAGCGCGUGUAGGCGGUCCGGUAAGUCCGCUGUGAAAGUCGGGGGCUCAACCCUCGAAUGCCGGUGGAUACUGUCGGGCUAGAGUGCGGAAGAGGCGAGUGGAAUUCCUGGUGUAGCGGUGAAAUGCGUAGAUAUCAGGAGGAACACCUGCGGUGUAGACGGCUUACUGGACGGUAACUGACGCUGAGGCACGAAAGCGUGGGUAGCAAACAGG
rnacentral:rRNA from 1 species